AGUGAACGCUGGCGGUAGGCCUAACACAUGCAAGUCGAACGGCAGCACAGUAAGAGCUUGCUCUUACGGGUGGCGAGUGGCGGACGGGUGAGGAAUACAUCGGAAUCUACUUUUUCGUGGGGGAUAACGUAGGGAAACUUACGCUAAUACCGCAUACGACCUACGGGUGAAAGCAGGGGAUCUUCGGACCUUGCGCGAUUGAAUGAGCCGAUGUCGGAUUAGCUAGUUGGCGGGGUAAAGGCCCACCAAGGCGACGAUCCGUAGCUGGUCUGAGAGGAUGAACCGCCCCACUGGGAAUGAGACACGGUCCCAACUCCCACGGGGAGCAACAGUGGGGAAUUUUUGGCAAAGGGGGAAAGCCCGAACCAACCACGCCGGGGGGGGGAAAAAGGGCUUUGGGUUGGAAAACCCUUUUUUUUGGGAAAAAAAAACGUGAGGGUAACCCCCCGCUUUUUGGCGGUACCCAAAAAAAAAGGCACGGCUAAAUUCGUG
rnacentral:rRNA from 1 species